UUUCCAGACUCCUACGGGAGGCAGCAGUGGGGAAUAUUGCACAAUGGGGGAAACCCUGAUGCAGCGACGCCGCGUGAGUGAAGAAGUAUUUCGGUAUGUAAAGCUCUAUCAGCAGGGAAGAAAAUGACGGUACCUGAUUAAGAAGCCACGGCUAACUACGUGCCAGCAGCCGCGGUAAUACGUAGGUGGCAAGCGUUGUCCGGAAUUACUGGGUGUAAAGGGAGCGCAGGCGGGAAGCCAAGUCAGCUGUGAAAACUACGGGCUUAACUUGUAGACUGCAGUUGAAACUGGUUUUCUUGAGUGAAGUAGAGGUUGGCGGAAUUCCGAGUGUAGCGGUGAAAUGCGUAGAUAUUCGGAGGAACACCGGUGGCGAAGGCGGCCAACUGGGCGUUAACUGACGCUGAGGCUCGAAAGUGUGGGGAGCAAACAGGAUUAGAUACCCGGGUACCG
rnacentral:rRNA from 1 species